GUUCUAUUUUACAACGACGUUUCGAUGCUGUUUCACACAUAUUUUUAAGUUGAAUUAAUUUAGGCUACGUAUAAUUACUUUGAUAAAUUGCUAUUUUAUAGAAUACGAUUUAACGAACUCAUAGCUGAUAGUUUCUCUCAUUUUCUAACACAAAAAGUCAUGAAUUCCACAUUCAAAUUCAUGAGAAACCUCAGCCAUGGUCUGGAAAUGACCCAUUUUAGAAGGCAUUCUGUUUAUUAAAAAGCAUUAAUUUAAAAUCCAUUCUGGACAAAUUUGAAACGCAAUUGAAUCACAGUUACAACGCGACGAGGGCGCAAUUCAAACAAAUUCAGUUAAGACGCAUAAGGCACGCGCGCGUUAUAAUAAUUGGGAAGGAAUCACCACGGUUCAUUUUCUAUCUGUCCUUUGCUUUGCUUUGCUUUGUUUAGCACAAAUGAACAGUUUACAAUUUCUACAUUUAUAAAACAUUAUGGAGAUUAAUGAAUAUAUAUCAUAGAGUAAACUCUUUUUAUAUUAUAUAAACUGUACAGUUUUUAUAUUAUAUGAUAUAUUUUAACUGCAUGAAAUUUAUAUCUACGCAUUCUUUGAUUCGCUUUGGGAUUGCCUGAAAUCUUCUUGAUUAUACACCUGCUGAGUUCAUAAUACCACAAGAAAUCUACCCUUAAUUUAUUGUUUUUUAGAUCAAAGAUAAUAUAUAGGACAGAGCAAUAUACAUACAAUACAACAAUCGUACAAUACAUAUAUUUGAUCCACUGAUAACAACAAGUCAUAACACACUACCUUUUUCGAAGCAUUUUCCGUUCCCGAUUUAUCAUCUUUCUUUUUAAGACUAUGCGAACUUACGAUGCUUGCCAAAAGUACACAACUUAGUACGACCACGAAACGAUUCAUAUUCGUUUCUUGCGUAAAAACAACCAAAUUUUU
rnacentral:lncRNA from 1 species